rnacentral:rRNA from 1 species
AGAGUUUGAUCAUGGCUCAGGAUGAACGCUAGCGGCAGGCCUAAUACAUGCAAGUCGAGGGGCAGCAGGGAUAGCAAUAUUCGCUGGCGACCGGCGCACGGGUGCGUAACGCGUAUGCAACUUACCUUCAACUGGAAGAUAGCCCCUCGAAAGAGGGAUUAAUACUCCAUAGUAUUACGAAACGGCAUCGUUUUGUAAUUAAAGCUCCGGCGGUUGAAGAUAGGCAUGCGUGACAUUAGCUAGUUGGUGAGGUAAUGGCUCACCAAGGCUACGAUGUCUAGGGGAUCUGAGAGGAUUAACCCCCACACUGGUACUGAGACACGGACCAGACUCCUACGGGAGGCAGCAGUAAGGAAUAUUGGUCAAUGGAGGCAACUCUGAACCAGCCAUGCCGCGUGAAGGAUGAAGGCGCUAUGCGUCGUAAACUUCUUUUAUAUGGGAAAAAACCUCUAAACGUGUUCGGAGCUGAUGGUACCAUAAGAAUAAGGAUCGGCUAACUCCGUGCCAGCAGCCGCGGUAAUACGGAGGAUCCAAGCGUUAUCCGGAUUCAUUGGGUUUAAAGGGUGCGUAGGCGGCUUGUUAAGUCAGCGGUGAAAUCUCAGGGCUUAACCCUGAAACUGCCAUUGAUACUGACGAGCUUGAGUACACUUGAAGUGGGCGGAAUGUGUCGUGUAGCGGUGAAAUGCUUAGAUAUGACACAGAACACCGAUUGCGAAGGCAGCUCACUAAAUUGUCACUGACGCUGAGGCACGAAAGCGUGGGGAUCAAACAGGAUUAGAUACCCUGGUAGUCCACGCUGUAAACGUUGAUAACUCGAUGUGUGCGGUAUACAGUACGCGUCUAAGCGAAAGCAUUAAGUUAUCCACCUGGGGAGUACGACCGCAAGGUUGAAACUCAAAGGAAUUGACGGGGGCCCGCACAAGCGGAGGAGCAUGUGGUUUAAUUCGAUGAUACGCGAGGAACCUUACCUGGGCUUGAAAGUUAGUGACCGUUCCUGAAAGGGAAUCUUCCGCAAGGACACGAAACUAGGUGCUGCAUGGCUGUCGUCAGCUCGUGCCGUGAGGUGUUGGGUUAAGUCCCGCAACGAGCGCAACCCCUAUCUUUAGUUGCCAUCAGGUUAUGCUGGGGACUCUAAAGAAACUGCCCGCGCAAGCGGUGAGGAAGGUGGGGAUGACGUCAAGUCAGCACGGCCCUUACGUCCAGGGCUACACACGUGCUACAAUGGUCACUACAGAGGGCUGCUACACCGCGAGGUGAUGCUAAUCUCCAAAGGUGAUCUCGGUUCGGAUUGGAGUCUGCAACUCGACUCCAUGAAGCUGGAUUUGCUAGUAAUCGGAUAUCAGCAAUGAUCCGGUGAAUACGUUCCCGGGCCUUGUACACACCGCCCGUCAAACAAUGGAAGCUGAGGGUACCUAAAGUCCAUCACCGCAAGGAGUGGCCUAGGGUAAAACUGGUAACUGGUGUUAAGUCGUAACAAGGUA